rnacentral:rRNA from 1 species
AGUUUGAUCCUGGCUCAGGAUGAACGCUGACAGAAUGCUUAACACAUGCAAGUCUACUUGAAACACUUUCGGGUGUGGAUGGUGGCGGACGGGUGAGUAACGCGUAAAUAACUUGCCCCCUAGUCUGGGACAACUGUUGGAAACGACAGCUAAUACUAGAUAUUAUGAGACCUUGGCAUCAAGGACUUAUGAAAGCUAUAUGCGCUAGGGGAGAGAUUUGCGUCCUAUUAGCUAGUUGGUGAGGUAAUGGCUCACCAAGGCGACGAUAGGUAGCCGGCCUGAGAGGGUGAACGGCCACAAGGGGACUGAGACACGGCCCUUACUCCUACGGGAGGCAGCAGUGGGGAAUAUUGGACAAUGGACCAAAAGUCUGAUCCAGCAAUUCUGUGUGCUUGAUGAAGGCCUUCGGGUUGUAAAGAGCUUUAAGUAGGGAAGAAGAAAGUGACGGUACCUACAGAAUAAGCGACGGCUAAAUACGUGCCAGCAGCCGCGGUAAUACGUAUGUCGCAAGCGUUAUCCGGAAUUAUUGGGCAUAAAGGGCGUCUAGGCGGUUUAGAAAGUCUGAUGUGAAAAUGCGGGGCUCAACCCCGUAUUGCGUUGGAAACUACUAGACUAGAGUAUUGGAGAGGUAAGCGGAACUACA